rnacentral:rRNA from 1 species
UAAGCAUAUCAAUAAGCGGAGGAAAAGAAACCAACAGGGAUUGCCCUAGUAACGGCGAGUGAAGCGGCAACAGCUCAAAUUUGAAAUCUGGCUCUUUUAGGGUCCGAGUUGUAAUUUGCAGAGGGCGCUUUGGCUUUGGCAGCGGUCCAAGUUCCUUGGAACAGGACGUCACAGAGGGUGAGAAUCCCGUACGUGGUCGCUAGCUAUUGCCGUGUAAAGCCCCUUCGACGAGUCGAGUUGUUUGGGAAUGCAGCUCUAAAUGGGAGGUAAAUUUCUUCUAAAGCUAAAUACUGGCCAGAGACCGAUAGCGCACAAGUAGAGUGAUCGAAAGAUGAAAAGCACUUUGGAAAGAGAGUCAAACAGCACGUGAAAUUGUUGAAAGGGAAGCGCUUGCAGCCAGACUUGCUUGCAGUUGCUCAUCCGGGCUUUUGCCCGGUGCACUCUUCUGCAGGCAGGCCAGCAUCAGUUUGGGCGGUGGGAUAAAGGUCUCUGUCACGUACCUCUCUUCGGGGAGGCCUUAUAGGGGAGACGACAUACCACCAGCCUGGACUGAGGUCCGCGCAUUCGCUAGGAUGCUGGCGUAAUGGCUGUAAGCGGCCCGUCUUGAAACACGGACCAAGGAGUCUAACAUCUAUGCGAGUGUUUGGGUGUCAAGCCCGAACGCGUAAUGAAAGUGAACGGAGGUGGGAACCCGCAAGGGUGCACCAUCGACCGAUCCUGAUGUCUUCGGAAGGAUUUGAGUAAGAGCAUGGCUGUUGGGACCCGAAAGAUGGUGAACUAUGCUUGAAUAGGGUGAAGCCAGAGGAAACUCUGGUGGAGGCUCGCAGCGGUUCUGACGUGCAAAUCGAUCGUCAAAUUUGGGCAUAGGGGCGAAAGACUAAUCGAACUAUCUAGUAGCUGGUUCCUGCCGA